UAAUUUUGUUAAUUAUAUUGUACGGCCUGACGAAGCGCCCAUUGAAGCGAUACGGACUGUGGCCGCCGUCUGAGCUCCCCCAAAACCACCUACCACCUCCUUGCAGAAGAACCCCGAGAGGAACUUCACCUGAGGAUCCCAUAGAAUACUGAUCGCGUCUAUCCAGAGAUGACGAAUUAGGUUCAAGUCAGGGCCCUGGUUGGGUCACUCAAGGAUAUUCACAGAAUUGUCCCUAAGCCUCCUGUGUUGACUUGGCUGUGUACUUAGGGCUUUCAUUAAUAAUAUCUCAGUUCUUUGCUUCAUUCAGCUUUUCAUCAAACAUGACCAGUCUCCCUGCACCAGCUGCUGUAAAACACCCUCACAUCAUGAUGCUACCACCACCAUGCUUCACUGUACGGAUGGUAAUAGGCAGAGCAAUGAUGUGGCCCGUGCCUUGGCUGACAAUCAAGUUGAGGGAGCAUGAUGACAGAUGCAGGAGACAGGACUAGAACAGGAUGGCUCCCACCACAGGGACUACUUAUGGGCCAGCAGGGGACACCUUUCAAACUUCAUAUGUUCACCAUCCCUGCGAGCAGGAACAUCUCCGGGCAUGGAAAGGA